rnacentral:rRNA from 1 species
UCCUCGCGGUCCAAGUCGCAGCCAUCUUUAUUGGGUCUAAAACAUCCGUAGCUUGCUGAACAAGUUCUUUGUGAAAUCCUAAUUCUCAAGGUUAGGGAGUGCAAAGAGUACUAUUUAGCUAGAGACUGGAAGACGUAAGAAGUACGCUUAAAGUAGUGGUAAAAUACGUUAAUCUUAAGCGGACUUACAAGAGCGAAGGCAUCUUACGAGGACAGUUCUGACAGUAAGGGAUGAAGGCCAGGGGCGCGAAACG